rnacentral:rRNA from 1 species
GAUGAACGCUAGCGGCAGGCCUAAUACAUGCAAGACGAACGGCAAGAAUGAUAGCAAUAUUGUUCCUAGAGUGUCGUAAGGGUGCGUAACACGUAUGCAAUCUACCCGAAACAGGAGGAUAGCUCCCCGAAAGGGGAAUCAACACUCCAUAAGAUCAUAGAAUGGCAUCAUUCAGUGAUUAAAACUGAGGUGGUUUCGGAUGAGCAUGCGUUUGAUUAGUUAGUUGGUGAGGUAACGGCUCACCAAGACGAUGAUCAAUAGGGGAACUGAGAGGUUGAUCCCCCACACUGGCACUGAGAUACGGGCCAGACUCCUACGGGAGGCAGCAGUAGGGAAUAUUGGACAAUGGGUGAGAGCCUGAUCCAGCCAUGCCGCGUGCAGGAAGAAGGCCUUCUGGGUUGUAAACUGCUUUUGCCAGGGGAUAAAAUUUCCUUGCGAGGAAAAUUGAAGGUACCUGGUGAAUAAGCCACGGCUAACUACGUGCCAGCAGCCGCAGUAAGAC